UUUAAUUGAAACCAAAGUAAGAGGUAUAUUACUGUUAAUAAUAAAAUUGAGAUUAUUCUCCAAUUAAAG
rnacentral:tRNA from 1 species